rnacentral:rRNA from 1 species
UUUGACAGCCAUAUCUCUCUGCAGCCCAAGACCGGUUACUCACUGAAGCUAAGCAGUAUUGAACCUGGUCAGUACUUGGAUGGGAGACCACAUGGGAAAGCUAGAUUACUCUUGGAA